CCUUCCAUUUCCCUGGGAAAUAAAUUGCCACGAAAUUUAAACACCAACCUCUGAUUUCCUCUCCUCCGUGUCGCCGGCCACCCACUGAUCCAUCCACUCGCCCCAAUGGAUCACGCCGCCGAGCACCUCGACCCCACCGCCCCGGCACCCUCGUCCGCCUCCUCCUCUGCUGCCGUCGCGGAGGUAAAUGCGUGGCUGGCCUCCCUCGCCGCGGAUGUGGGAGGGCGAGGCGGUGGCGGAGGUGCGGCGGCGGAGCUGUCGCUGGGUCCCGACCCCACACCGCGCGGGGUGGCCUACCUCCGCGCGCUGGCCUCUGCUUCGCAGGGGCGGUCCCGCGCUGCCGGAAUCGCGGCUGCGGGGCUGCGUGCGCAGGCGGCCGAGUACCGCGCCGAGGCGGCGCGGUUGCGGGAGGCUCUCGAGCGGGCGGGGCUCGCGAGGGACGCACUCCCACCACCUGCAGCCGCGGCGGCACGAGCCGUUGCUGCAGUCGCUAACCUCCUCGCCAUCCGUGACACCGAGAUGAGCAGCUUUGUAGUGGCAAGUGCAGACUUGUCUCUGAGGCGAGCAGAGGUGGAGGAGAAGAGGGACAAAGUGCAUAAGGAGUCCAAGGCACUACUUGACUACACACGGAAGGCCAUAAACAAGCUUACUGAGCUGAAGAAGAUGCUGGAGAAAUUUAAGAAUGAUGUGGAGAAGCAACAAGUGGAGCAAAUGACUGAUUGGCAAACAAAGCUUGUUAUGAUGGACUCCAAGGAACGGCAAUAUAUCCUCCAAGUCUCAAAUUAUAAGGCAAUGCUUAAUCGAGUGGGUUAUACGCCAGAGAUCAAUCAUGGUGUGUUGAUGGAAAUGGCUGAGCAUAAGAAGGAUCUCGAGAGGAAGACUAAACCCAUAGCUGACACAUUAAGGAGCUACCAGGAUUUACCUCCAGAUAAAGCUUUAGCUGCACUAGCUAUAGAGGACAAAAAGAGGCAGUAUGCAGCCGCAGAGAAGUACCUAGAAGAUGUGUUGCAAUCUGCUCUAACCACAAGUGGCCUAUAAUGUGCAUAGUUUUGUUUGCUGUGUCUUAUAUGUUGCCAUCGAUUGAAGGUGAAAUGGAAGCAGAUCGAUGGUAUCCUACAAAUGUGAAGACGAAAUCCUACGAGUGCGAGCUCUACUAUAUGUAUAAAUUGUGAUGCACAUCUUGUUUAAAUGUUCUGAUAACGCUAUUCUACCCCUUGGUGCUAACAGAUGUUCCUUGUCUUGCCUUACCCUGUUUCCUGUAAACUGUAAAUAUAAUAGUGAAGAAAAUGUCUACUUGACUGUAAAAUAUAUUUUCAUUUGCAGUCUUGUUUCCUGUAAAAACGGUUCACAUUCUCUUAAGGGUACCGUAGAAAAUUCCUUAUAUAAUUAAAAGAAUGUUGCCGAAUCA